rnacentral:rRNA from 1 species
CCUACGGGUGGCAGCAGUGAGGAAUAUUGCACAAUGGGAGAAAUCCUGAUGCAGCGAUGCCGUGUGCGGGAUGAAGGGGCUUUGCCUCGUAAACCGCUGUCGGAUGGGACGAAAGGGAGCUUAGGGCUCCCGGGACUGUACCAUAAGAGGAAGGGACGGCUAACUACGUGCCAGCAGCCGCGGUAAUACGUAGGUCCCGAGCGUUGUCCGGAAUUACUGGGUAUAAAGGGUGCGCAGGCGGUCUUGUGCGUCAGAAGUGAAAUAUCACGGCUCAACCGUGAGGGUGCUUUUGAUACGGCAAGACUUGAGUACGGGAGAGGAUGAUGGAAUUCCUGGUGUAGCAGUGAAAUGCGUAGAUAUCAGGAGGAACACCGGUGGCGAAGGCGGUCAUCUGGCCCGUAACUGACGCUCAGGCACGAAAGUGUGGGUAGCAAACAGGA